UCUGAAUAGGGCGCAUAAGUAACAGGUCGUAGACCCGAAACCAGGUGAUCUACCCAUGUCCAGGAUGAAGGUAAGGUAAUACUUACUGGAGGUCCGAACCCACGCACGUUGAAAAGUGCGGGGAUGAGGUGUGGGUAGCGGAGAAAUUCCAAUCGAACUUGGAGAUAGCUGGUUCUCUCCGAAAUAGCUUUAGGGCUAGCCUCGAGGUAAAGAGUCAUGGAGGUAGAGCACUGUUUGGACUAGGGGCCCUUCUCGGGUUACCGAAUUCAGAUAAACUCCGAAUGCCAUGUACUUAUACUCGGGAGUCAGACUGCGAGUGAUAAGAUCCGUAGUCGAAAGGGAAACAGCCCAGACCACCAGUUAAGGUCCCCAAAUAUAUGUUAAGUGGAAAAGGAUGUGGGGUUGCUUAGACAACCAGGAUGUUGGCUUAGAAGCAGCCACCAUUGAAAGA
rnacentral:rRNA from 1 species